ACCUGUGACCUGUGCACUGGGCAUGUACAUUAUCACUAUUCAAUUGUAAGCUGCUUGAGACAGAAACUGGUCUUUCCAUUCACAGAUUGUCUCCACACCCACCACAGUGCCUGUCCCACUGUGUCCCUAAAUGUCUGGUGAACCGAGAUCAAUAAUCAGCCUUUUCUUAAGUUAAUGAGAAACCCAUUCAUCCAUUUUCUCAGACUGCUCCACUGAGUAUCACAUGGGAACAGAACCCUUGGUUUAGAAUACAUUAUUUUUAGGCAUCCUGCAGCUCUGUGACUUCAAAACUGUCUUCUGCGGAAUCAGUGUGAGAAGCAUCUAGUAACAUUUAGCAGCUGGGGUAUGGAUGAAGCUAAAUGGUAACUUUGCUGCUCCGUUUCCACCAGCUCCACCUAGGCCCUGGGAGGUGGAAGGGGCAGCUGCGGGGAGAGCAGGACCAGAUGGAUUUAUCAUAAUGCAAGUGAAUCUCCAUCCAGCUAUUACAUGUAUGAAACAGUCGAUGUACCUUCCUCUCUCCUUGCUUUGGAUAAGGUGCAUUAUGGAUUAAAUGGGCUCUGUGGAUUGAUCUAGGACCUAGACCAUCAAGUACAAAGGUUUCUUUGGGAAAUCAGUCUCCUCAAAAAACUGGACUUGAGGAAUCCUCCUGAUACCAAAACCUUACUGAGAAGAGAAAAUUCCCUCCAAUGAAUGGCUCUGGUGAUGCCACUCAGAGGCGAGGAGGGGCAGGCUAUGCUGUGGGAGGGAUCUGAAUUUAUAACAUACCUGGAUUGGGAAUCUCUGGCUGAGGAGAAAAUGGUUCAAACUGGAGUAUGCUUGAUGUCCACAGAUGCCUUCACAGAACUAGGGCAGACAGCUGACAGCCCAGGCCCAUGUGCUCCUGGGGAAAGAUGCCAUCUAUGGAAGAGGAGCUUGUACAAGAUUUCACAUACACAUGCACACAUGGCACUAAACCACCAUGGGAGAAACAGGAACCUGAGGAUGAUUGAACAAUCUAGAAGAGACUCUAAAAUAGACAUUUAAAAAAUAUAAAAUACAAUGUAGAACCGUUAGGAAAGAAUAAAUGAAAGACAACAAUAACAAGGGUUUGAAAAAGCACCAUAUAGACAUUAUAGAAAUGAGAAUUAUAAUCAUAGACCUGUGAAAGUUUCUACAUAGCUGAGAAGAACUUUACUGAGCUGGACGGCAGUGCUGGCCAGAAUGCUACGUACGCUGAAAGGUACAGGCACAGAAAUCCAAGGUCACGAGGAACCCACGGACAGCUUAGACUUCAAGGCGAAGGCAUCAAGACAGCUCAGGCCUGUCUCCUAGGUUCCCACCCUACUGGGCCUCAGGUUCCUGAGGUCAGAAUUGUCAGGAGGAAGUGGGCCUACACCUGGAAGUGUCAGGCCUCGGGAACUCUUGGUGAGCAAAACUUGGAAAAAGGGGGCUAUCUUCCUGAUAGUCCUGACUUACCUGCCAUCACCUCAGUCACCUGUCCUCCAAGGCUGUCCUUCCUCCCUUGAGAGGAAGAGGGAAGUGUCCACCUUCCCUCCAAUUUCUUACUGGGUCUGUGAUCCUUCAACUGAGUAUAGCCUUUACAUGGCCUUAAGAGCUGUCAAGAAUGGUUUUCUAAAAGCCAUACUGAACAAGGUUUCCCUGAGCAAGGACCUGACCCCAGGAAGAGGAGCCAUAUUACCAGGCCUGUAGACCUCAUCAGGAACCUCAGAGAAGGCAGUUUUCUCCCCUGAGCAGGAUACUUAACAAAAGGAUGGACACUAGGAUGCUCAAUCUCAAGGUCACUGAGCAGCUUCCCUCUGUGGAAUCCCCUUGGCCAACUGUUGGUCCCUCAUCCAUGACCUAUUUCUGGCCUGGUCUUUGAAAACUGGUUGCUACCCCAGACACUGAACAUCUGAUCCCUUCUAGUUUGGACCUCAGAUAACUGUGAACCACAUUCUUCUGCCCGCUUCUCCCAGGCCUGAUGCCCCCUGCCCCCAGCCAUUUUGGGAGACAUUUUCACAGCCAAGUAAGACCUUUCCAGAAGGUGAAUCUGCCCUUUGCUUCUGUUGCUAGGAAUCAAUUCCUUUUCUGAGAAACUUCCAACAGGUAGGAGAGAAUUAGGGGAAACACCUUUGCUUCAGGGGUCCUGGAACAGCUUGAUUUAGAAGCUGGAGAUGAAUUUUCCCAGGAGCUUCACCAUGGAGAAGCCUGAGGAGCUGUGCUCAAUAGCGCUUUGCCGUCGUUUGGGCAGCACACAUGAACGGCCAAAGAAAAUGCUGCUGCUAGCACUGUGACAAUGGGGCGGCCCCUCUGGGGACAGAGCCUCAGAGGGGCCCUGCCACCACUGGAUGUGAAAAUGCCCUCUCCCUCCCUGGCCUGUUCAACAUGCCCUGGUUCCAAAGCUGAAUCAGCAAGGCAAGCCAAUUCUGGGACAAAAUGAGCACCUUUGUUAUCUUAAAUGACUUGUACCAUCUCACUCCCUGUAUGAAGCAAAAUGCCUCUUAAUAAAAUCACCUUGGUUUCCAUAAGUAUGUAGUACAUUAUCACAGUGAUGAUUUUAUUAGGCCACUAGAAGUUGUCCUCCAAGGGUAUUAAAAGGUUGGCACCAAGGAUGUCAAUCUAAUAGGGGAAAGCUGAAUGUCCACUUUUCUACCAGAAACUAAAAGCUUAGUUUGACUCUGGCUAUCUGAACAGAUCUUCAUAUUAAAUGACAUCUCAAGGCCAAAUCUGUAGUCAAAAUAUUAUUAUCCCAAAAUAAAAUCCCAAGGGGACCCACUUAGAUAGGCUACUUCUAGCAAAGUAUUAUGAGAAUAAAACAUUUUCAAUUCAGUUUUUGCUCUUGGGUUAAAAGACACAAGCAGGAAGAUGACCUAUUUUGAGUUUGUCUCGCUGUUCCCCAUAAAGCAGACCCCAUAUAUUUUGGAUCAUCUUUAGCUUUGUUGUGUACACAUGAUACUUUGUGUGGGACCUUUUGGUAGUGAUAUAGCCACAGCCCAGACCAUUCGAAAGAUGGGUGGAAUGGAAGGAGUACAAAUGCCCUCUCUGUUGAAUGCCUUCUAGGGAAGCAGAGUAAUGGCUGUAGGAAUACCUGCCUGGGUCCGAUUCCCAGUUCUGCCAUUAAUUGGCUGUGUGACUUUGGGUGUAUCACUUAACCUUUCUGUGCCUUGGUCUUCUCACUGUAUAAAGAUAAUAUGAGCCUAUAUUGUAGAAUUGUUUUGAGGAUCAGUGUAU